GCGCCGCUUCCCCCUCCCGCUCCCUUCUCUCUCCUUCUCUCCCUCACUUCUCCUCCACGCCCACGCCUCUGCCACUCCACCAUGCCCUGUCCCCCCACGCUUCUGCCACCCCACGCUCCUCUGCCACACCCACUCCCUCUUGUCCCCCCGCUCGUCUCUCUCUCUUCCUCUCAAACGAAAACCCCAAUCCACCCUAUAAAUAUUCCGAUCUUGAAUCGGUUAGAGAGAGGAUUUUUGAUUGGAAAAUCCCCCCCAAGAACCGAGUCGGUUUUGAGUCAUGAAAUUCCCCAAGAACUAGGUCUUCUUUUCAGUCGCAAAAAUCCCCAAAAUAUUGAGUUCUUCAGCCGCUGAAUUAGUUUUGUUUUUUUAGCAGUCAUAGUAUCGAUUAAUGUCGAUUAAAGUAUAACAACGUUUUCCUUUCUUUUACUGCUUCAAUUCCGAGUGAUACCCACUCAAGAGUUUGUGGUGUUUCAAGGUAGAUCGGAGAUUCGAGGCCUCACUUCGCUGCACCCGAAGCAGGUGAUUUUCCUUUUCCCCUUCGCGUCUUCUUGUGUUUUUAGGCUUGUUUGUUCUGUGUUGUUUGUUCUGGUAUUUGUUAAUGUUGAUGAAUGAUAGUACCAGUGUCUGCUCAGAUUUGGCUUGCAUAGGUCCAUAUAUGUUGAGUGCAUAAAUGUAGUUGGUUAGUUUAACCUCAAUGUGUGUUGAUAUGUGCUUACUUGAAUAAUAGAUUUAGAGUGAUGAUCUAUGGGUAUGAACAUGACCAUGUUUGAACGUCGUCUAGCCGAUAUUCGAAUCAUCGUUUAGCUAUCUAACCCCCUUAGUGUAAUGAUAUUCAGUUACAGAAACUUAACAAUGAUGGCUUGAGUACUCUUGAACGAUAUCACCUGAUUUUGUUUAAGACAGUAGUGUAUAGCUGAUAACCUAACGACGUCUAAUCUUAAAGGAUAUGUUAGCCUAUUAGUUAAAACAUGAAGUCCAUUAUCAGUCUAACUUAAGCUCAUCCCAUCUAAACAUAGACUUAUAUUUAGCAUGCUUUUUGAUGGAUAGUAAAUUCAAAAGACGAAAGAUGUCCAAACUGGCCCUACAUGGUAUUGUAGUGUUUCUUUGCUAAACAAACUGUUACCUGAUUUAAACUUGAGGAAUAUGCCUUAUAUCGGUAGUGUAUUCAGUUCUCGGGGUCUAAUUGAAAUAAGCUGUUCCCUUUGCAUAUUGUUUGGAUUUAUGUGGAACAUUCUAUUCUUUAAGUGUACACUAAAGACCAUCUACCUCUAGCCCUUGUUGUCUAAACUGGUGACCUUGAAUGUUGUUUGCAUCUCCUUCUGUGCGGCUUCUUUGUUUCUGGUAUGAUUUCUAUUAUUCCGGAUUGGCUAGUGUAUAAUAUGACUAAUAUGAACCCUCUAGGACAGUUGGUUGACUGUUUUGCUGAGUAUGAUAAUCUUCUUAUAAAUUACUUUCUUGCACAUCGGGGAAUGGGAAUGCCCAAAUAUGCAUGUUCGUUUGGUUACCUAUUUGAAAACAUGUCAAGAUAUCUGGGUAUUCUUUCUGGCUAUGCAUGUAAUUGUGCCUUGUGCUUGCUUUGAUAUGAUUGUUUUGGUUUGGAUUAUAUGAGAUGCCCAUGAAUUUCCUUUCCUCUUUUUCUGCAUUUUUGAAUCUGCUCGUGUGGCUUGUCCCCUUUCCAUGUGAUUUUUCUGUGGUAUGGUAUACUUCAAAGUAUACACAGUAUAUACACCUUAGUGCACACCCUUGUAUACAAGAGGUCGUAUAUUAGUGUAUACCUUUCAAGUAUACCAGGUAUGCUCUGAAUAUUAUGUGCUAUUGCAUCUGUCCAAGCUUUACGUACGUCUACGUACGACAAACAUUGCACUGUUGAUCCUGCCUACGUUCGAGUGUUGCCCUGUGGUCAAUUUGGUGAAGUUCAAUGCCACCGCUAACUGCUGCUAUCGUCUAAGCAUGUUUUGUAGUUAAUGUUGCUCACUGCCACGGCUGUGCAGAUGCCGUUUGCCUUAGUAUCUUACGUAGUUUUCUUGCAAUGUCCACUGCCACUGCUGGGCAGAUUGUGUGCCUUAAUAUGUUAUAAAUGCUCUAAUGUUGUUAAGGCCGUGAGGUUUGUAUACCUAUGUAUACAUGAGGUAUACUUCGAAUAUACAUAGAAUAUACAUAAUCCGCUGUUUUGUUUUGAAUUUGUAUGUUGCAUAUUAACUUUACUCAUCGAUUAGAUACUAAUCCUUAUCUUUCUUUUUUUAUGCAUGACCAUCGUAUACGAGUCCAAGGGACUCGCCUUCCCCCCGCAUAUCGGAGUUGGGCUAAAAACCCAACAUAACCUCUCUCUGUCCAAGCCCUCCUGCCGCAGCAAAGAAAAAAUAGAAAACAAGUUUCUGGGCCAAAGCCCAAUAGACAACAACAGCAGAUCAGCAGUCCUAAAAUGGGCUGAGCCCAUUUAAUAUCACUCGCUCCUUUAUUUCAUUUUAUACAUUUGGUUUGUAUUUGUGUAACUAAUACUUUACUUUGUUAUUUCCUUAACUUAGAUGAACCUUAGCAAAUUAGUGGGGUUAGUUUUAAUAAUGGGUAGUUAAUCCAAGGAAACUAACAAUUAAUUCCAUAAGUUUUAUUCUCUUCUUUCCAUGUUAAAACUAUUUAUAAUGUCUAAUAUUUAUUUUAUUUGGAACACUUGAUUUGCAAAAUAACAUGACUAUAUAUUUUAAGUAAAGCGAAUCAUAUUUUAUUCUUACUGUCAUAGACAUUUCUAAAGUGUCACUAAUACACAGAUAUAAACUCAAGUAUAUUUUAUAAACAUUGUUUUCAAGAUUCAUCCAAUUAUAUAUAUUUUAGCCGAGCAUAGUUAAAUAAAGUUAAAAAGAAAAGAAAACUCAUCAUCUUUUGCAUUCUAUUUAUAAAAUAAGUCUAUGAUUUUCUACACCACUGUACUCAUAUGAUGUAAUUUUAUUCUAAGUUUAAAUUGGCUAGGUCUUUUCUUAAAAGCUUCUAUUUAUAUGCGUAUCAUUAUAUUUUGCAAGUCUUAUUCUUAAAAUAGUAUUUUUUAAAGCCUUAACAUAUCUUUUAAAUCUUAUCUAAUCUUAAGUUUGGCCGGAUAACCGUAGUUAACGGAUUCUAAAGGAUGCCUAACCCCUUCCCUUUAGGAUAAUAUAGAGCCCUUACCUAGAAUCACAUUGGUUAAGCAGACUAUUAACGGAGGUUUAGUUUUAACUUUACCUUAGUUAACAUCUAGGUGUCCUAAUUCACCGUUAAAUUAAUUAGGUGGCGACUCCUUAAAACAAAAUAAAAUAGGAAUCACCAAAAUGUUGUACCCUAAUUAUAACCCGGUUAAAACGGGGUAUAACAAUACCGCCGUGUCAAAUUAUUUGUUUUUUUUUUAUUAUUAUUUUUUAUUUUUUACACGGUCCUUAAGAAAUAACAUUAAUUAAUAAGUAUAUUUGACUAUUUUAUUCUUAUUUAUAUUUAAGUUAUAAUUUCUCUGAAUAUUUUACACUAUUUAUGUGUUAUCUUCAUUAAUUAAUGAUAAAAUUCUGGUAAAAUGAGAAAAAAAAAUUAAUUAUGUCUUGAACUUUUAAAAUGAUAAAUAAUUUAAAAUAAUUAUUUUUAGUAACCACGACAACUAAUUUAAGGAGAGAGAAUAAUAGCUACUCCAAAUCAGUGAUGUGCUUGCAUAUGUUUUUAUCACUUAACUUGGUCGCACAUGGGACUUCCCUAUUGGGUCACAUUUUUUGACUUUGCUGAUCUCCAUGACUUGGUGACACCACCAAAGCUAAUGUUUACCAUAAGACUGAGUUCACUUGAGAUUAAGCUGAAAAAUGGGAGCUAGAGAAGGAAAUGGUAUGUGCAUACAGCUUGAGGCAGACUAAAAAUGAUCAAGAUCAGAUGUGGCCACCAAGUAAAUGUAGUCUCCAAGGUAGUUGAUCUCUUGGAGCACAAGGUUAGUAGUAGUUUCUUUCAAUUAAAUAUUUGAGUUGACUAUUUAGAUGCCUUAUUAAUGUACCACCCAUAUGGACAUUUAAUAUUUGUUUUCAUAGUAUAUUGAGGAUCGCCUUUGCAAAUGAAUUGUGUUAAUUAACAAAAUUAGCAGGGAGUCUGCAAAAAGCUUAAACUAUGGCUCACUCAUUAAGAUAAGUCGGAAGUAACAUUAAAUACGUAAUCUUCAAGUUUAGCACCCUUUGACGGUGAAGUGCGAUUUCGUUUAAUGAAAACAUAAAAACUAAAAUAUGUUGGAAGGAAUGAAAACUCAACCUACAAAAAGAAUUCCUUCAAAUCACAAUUGAUCCCUACAAUUUAUCGCAUGUUUUUAUCUCCCUCCAUUUAAAGGAAAUGUCUUACUUUUCUUUUUAGUCCUUUUAAAAAAAUGUCUCUUUCCUUUUUUUGGCAACUCCUCAAAUCUAACUUUCCAUAUGGCAUGUCUAAGACAACAAAAUUAAAUGACAUUUUGGUACAUUCGACAUAUGUUCAGUUUAAACUUCGCGCCAAACGGAGGGAGUAGAUGAUAAAAUAAUUUUUGAAGAAGUCAACUAUCUUGAUUCUUAGAGCCUAAUGUCACGUCCUUAGUCUUCAACUAAGCGCACGUGCGACACUUGACAACUCGCUCACGUUCUUGCACAACUUGCUCACGAUCUUGCUAUGCCAAGUCAGCCUAGAUUACUACACUCAAGAUCGCUAAGGGAAUAGUAAUUAAGAAAGACGAGAAAUUUGCUAGAAGGAAGUUUUUUAUUAGAGAGAACUUGAAUUGUUUUGCUUGAUGGUUUACAAAUGAAUGACCCUCCUAUUUAUACUAUUCACCUAGGGACUAGUAUGUAAAUAAUUAUUAUUAUACAAGGGCCUACAUAUUUACAAAUAAGCCCCUAUUCUAGAAAUCUCUACACAACUAGAUUAUUCUAAGGACUUUCCAUGCAAUUCCAUAAGGUUCUAAGGUCUUCUGUGAGAAAUCUCCAUAUUUCUCUAGAACCUUCUCAUAUAAGCUAGCCUCCUCUCCAUGUAAGCAUCCACAUAAGCUUCCUACAUGGCAAAAAUAGUUUCACGUGGCGCCUAGGUGGCAUGAUGAUGUGGCGGGUCAUCACACUCUCCCCCACUUGAUGUUGCGACGACCACGGCGCACUGCUGCUGCUUAAACUUUUGACUCUUGUUUUUAAAUUGCCACAAGUCUUCGUAUCGUUCACAUGUGACCUCUUCCGGUGAUUGCCCUUUCUAAUGCACGAGAAAAAUGGCAGUGGCUUCUUGCCCUUGUUUCCACCUGGCCUGGUAGUCAAUGAUAGCUUUAAUCUCUCUAUUGUGUGAGGCGGUGACGGUAAUCGGUGUAUGACUUGACCCUUUUUCGAUUCAUGCUCCAACUCAAUCUUGUGAUCCUGCUCACGCCUAAGAGGCAAGCGUUUAGGUAGCUCUUUGGAAAUACCAUUUUUGUUUUCUUCGAGCAAAUUAUCUUCCUCCAAACUUGUAAUGGUUGUCAUGAAUGUUGGCUCCUCUUUCUUGAGCCCCUCGACAAGCUGCAUAGCUGAAAGUUGUGCAUCGCCUUGUUCAUGCGACAUAGUCAUUGUAGGCACCAUGCAAGCGCCUUCUCGCUCCAUGGCCAAGAGAUGUUGGAGGUAGGGAUCGAUCAUCGCGUGGCAAUGUGUAAAGAAUUCUUGCCCCAAAACAAUGUCAAAAAUAUCCAUAGUAGUGGCGGUAAAAUUUGUCAUACCUUUCCAAUUGCCCAAUUUGACACUAACGCCAUUAGCUACACCACGAGCAUUUUCUGGCUUAGCAUUCACGGUCUUGACGAGGGCGUUAAUUGGAGCAAGUUUCAACUCUAGUCUCUUCGCUGCAGCUUCAGUCACAAAAUUGUGAGUCGCUCCAGUGUCUACCAGUGCACGAGCGGGCUUGUUAUAGAUGGUGAGAUCCACGUACUGGUUUUUAUUAUCAUUAGUUUGACUAUCUUGCUUCGCGAUAGCGCCACAUAGUCUAAUCGUCCCCAACUGUGCGAUUCUCGUACUCUGUGUUUGCGUUUGCUCAUUUCUUUCAUGCACUAUAGCGCUAAGGCUUCUCAGGUCAGGGCAAUUUUUGAAGUUGUGCGGCCCUCCGCAUAAGUAGCAUCCCUUCUUCUCGUUUUGUGCCUUCUUUUCAGCAUAGCCCUGACGACCACUUGACUUCUUGCCAUCGAACUUGUUCUCAUUUUGAGUCUUAGAGUAUUGUUGAUGCGACUCCUUGCUCUCGCCACGGUCUCCCCCACCUUUGGCAUCGCUACCCCUUGACUCAUUGCCUUGGCCUUUGUCGUGCUUGUCAUGCUUGAAGUCCAUCAAAGACUCGGCCUCCACUAUGGCCUGGUCUAUGUCUGCGACUCGACGGCGUUGCAACUCCUGCUUAGCCCAAUUUUGCAACCCGUCAAUAAAGUGAAACAAUAAGUCAUCAUUAGUGAGGUUAGGAAUUUGAAGCGUAAGAGUGGUGAACUCCUUGACAUAGUCGCGUACGCUCUCUGUUUGCUUCAACUCUCUAAGUUUGCGCCUUGCCUCGUACAAGACAUUAUUUGGGUAGAACUGUCGCUUGAACUCAUUCUUGAACUGAUCCCACGUGUUGAUUGUGCAUAGACCUCUGUCAGUAUCAACGACCUUUCUUCUCCACCAUAGCAUGGCAGUCUCUGUUAGGUACAACACAGCGGUGUUGAUCUUGGCCUCAUCAUCCCUCACUUUGCCAUGUCUGAAAUAGUUCUCCAAGUGCCAAAGAAAGUUCUCCACCUCUUGUGCAUCACGAACCCCUUUGAACACUGGUGGCUUGGGAGCCUCGAUCUUAGCCUCUCUCGUCACGACAACACUGUUGGCUGCCUCGGUCACACCAACGUUGACCUGCUCUUCGAGUGCCACUAUCUUUGCCUUCAUGGCAUCGAUAGUACUCAACGCCUCCAUGAGUCUGCACUCUAAGGCAGUGAUAGUUUGCUUUACCUCAAUCUUAGCCUACAUAUGCCCUUCCAAGUCAUUUCGGAUGCUUUCAAUCUCUUCAAGAGUAUGCCCCUCAAGAACGCUAAGAGUUCCCUCCACCUUGCCCAAACGUUGGCCAAAUAUGUCGAUGGCGUCCAUCCCCACGUUAACCUUCAUAACCCACUCUUUACCGAGCGAGACGUCCUCGGACAGGACCUCCACGUCAUCCUCGCUCGCCUCAGUGGUAGAUGGUUCUUGGGAUAUAAGCCCUUCAUUUGGCACAACCUCUGGCGGCACCUCUUGGCUCUUGUUGGUGUCAUUCCUCUUUUUGUUAAGGCCCUUCUUGCCAGCAGCAUCCUGGAUGACAUUGGCUUGGGUUUUAGCAGCGUUGAUUUCUCCGUCGUUUGCCAUUCCCUCAGUCGUAACCUUCGCUCUGAUACCACGUUGUCACGUCCUUAGUCUUCAACUAAGCGCACGUGCGGCACUUGACAACUCGCUCACAUUCUUGCACAACUUGCUCACGAUCUUGCUAUGCCAAGUCAGCCUAGAUUACUACACUCAAGAUCGCUAAGGGAAUAGUAAUUAAGAAAGACGAGAAAUUUGCUAGAAGGAAGUUUUUUAUUAGAGAGAACUUGAAUUGUUUUGCUUGAUGGUUUACAAAUGAAUGACCCUCCUAUUUAUACUAUUCACCUAGGGACUAGUAUGUAAAUAAUAAUUAUUAUACAAGGGCCUACACAUUUACAAAUAAACCCCUAUUCUAGAAAUCUCUACACAACUAGAUUAUUCUAAGGACUUUCCAUGCAAUUCCAUAAGGUUCUAAGGUCUUCUGUGAGAAAUCUCCAUAUUUCUCUAGAACCUUCUCAUAUAAGCUAGGUGGCAUGAUGAUGUGGCGGGUCAUCACACUAAGACUAAUAAAAUAAACAGCUGGAACUCGGAGAUUAGAUUAUAAAAGCUUUGUUUGAAUUGUGAGACAAGCUCCAGAAUUAGGCCUUGUUCCUUUAGUCCAUUAUCUAUCUAUACAUGGCUCCAAAUGAUAGGAGAAAACAGAAAAUUUCAUCUAAAAAAUAAUCUUCUUAUGUGGAACCGUGGCAAGAUCUUCCUGAAAAGCUACUCAACUUUCUCAAAAGGCGAGGUCUCUCCAGGAAAUGUGGCUUCACUGUACAAUUCAUAGGUUCUGCUGGUGUGUCUAAAUCAUGGAGAUGUGCAUCCAAGAAAUGUGAUUCCAUCGUACAAUCACCGUGGCUUGAGCUUUCAAAUAAACCUCAAUGCUAUUGCAAGACUCAGCAGCACACCUUCGACAGCUCAUUUGAAGGAGGUGGUGGCUAUUGGUGGCACGGUAGAAGUAGGGCACGUUAUGAUCCUUGGAAGCAUCUUCAUUACUGCUCACCUUGGUUUAUCUUGAAAGGAAAGACGAUUCGAAUUGAUUACUGUCAUUAGAACAAUAACAGAGGCAAUGUUCAUUGGGCUAUUCACUCAUCCCACAUCAAAAGAUCAUCAUAGCUUUCCUAUUCCCCUUAUUGUGGGGGUUGUUGUUGCUUCCCACUUUUUGCAGUUUAUGCAUUGGGGCAAAACCAAAAGCAUAUGAAACAUGAAAGCUGUCAAAAUGGCAUUAUAGAUCCGAAUGAUCCUAAGGAGCAAUUGAUACAAUUCUGUAAUGCCAUUAUCUUUGAAGGGAAGUUUUAUGCACUAAGUUUACAAGGGACCCUGACAGUUAUAGAAGAAAUUGAACAUCAGUUUCAAGUCACGCGGCUAGUCACGCGGCUAAGUAAAAGGCGAGCCAUUCCUUCAAGCUACUCAAAGCAUUUCAUAGAGUACUUUCUUGAAUCUAAUGGAGAGAUCUUGCUCAUUUUGGGAUCUCAGAAAGAUCAAACAGGAUGGUCGACAAAGUGGAAGUGUUCAAGCUGCAGAUUGAAUCUUUGUCAUGGUUAAAGCUGGACAACCUCGGAGAUACAACGUUAUUUGCGGGGAUUAAUUGUUGUAUGUCAGUGCCGGCAAGUCAAGUUGGCAGCUGAAACAACUGUGUUUAUUUUACUCAUCAUGCAAUUGAUAGUUGGAGACUGUGCGAGAUGAAAAGUGGUUGCAUUUAUCCCUGUUAUGAUGAAGCGGGUUCCGCGAUAAAAAGUUCAGUGUGGGAGUAAGCAAUAUUUGAAAAAUCACUACGUAAACCAUGAAACAUAUGUUCAGACAUGUUAAUAACCUUGUUAUGUUGUGAAAUAAAAGCGUACAUAAAACUCUAGCUUGUUAAAGGGACUGUUGUUUCUCCCCCUAUUUUGAACAGAAGUUGUAAUUCCAAUUAAUCUUGGAAUCUGUAGCCAAGACGAAAGAGUUUUUUUUGGAUUAAUAGACAAGUUUCAGAAAGCAAUCAUGCAUACUUACUGCUCAA